UACGUAGGGCGCAAGCGUUGUCCGGAAUUAUUGGGCGUAAAGAGCUCGUAGGCGGCUUGUCAAGUCGGAUGUGAAAGCCCGGGGCUUAACUCCGGGUCUGCAUUCGAUACGGGCUGGCUAGAGUGUGGUAGGGGAGAUCGGAAUUCCUGGUGUAGCGGUGAAAUGCGCAGAUAUCAGGAGGAACACCGGUGGCGAAGGCGGGUCUCUGGGCAGUAACUGACGCUGAGGAGCGAAAGCGUGGGGAGCGAACAGG
rnacentral:rRNA from 1 species